rnacentral:tRNA from 1 species
GGGACCAUAGCUCAGUUGGUAGAGCAGCGGACUUUUAAUCCGUUGGUCGUGGGUUCGAAUCCCCCUGGUCCUACCA